AGUGAACGCUGGCGGUAGGCCUAAACAUGCAAGUCGAACGGCAGCACAGUAAGAGCUUGCUCUUACGGGUGGCGAGUGGCGGACGGGUGAGGAAUACAUCGGAAUCUACUUUUUCGUGGGGGAUAACGUAGGGAAACUUACGCUAAUACCGCAUACGACCUACGGGUGAAAGCAGGGGAUCUUCGGACCUUGCGCGAUUGAAUGAGCCGAUGUCGGAUUAGCUAGUUGGCGGGGUAAAGGCCCACCAAGGCGACGAUCCGUAGCUGGUCUGAGAGGAUGAUCAGCCACACUGGAACUGAGACACGGUCCAGACUCCUACGGGAGGCAGCAGUGGGGAAUAUUGGACAAUGGGCGCAAGCCUGAUCCAGCCAUACCGCGUGGGUGAAGAAGGCCUUCGGGUUGUAAAGCCCUUUUGUUGGGAAAGAAAAGCAGCAGGUUAAUACCCCGCUGUUCUGACGGUACCCAAAGAAUAAGCACCGGCUAACUUCGUG
rnacentral:rRNA from 1 species